GACGAACGCUGGCGGCGUGCUUAACACAUGCAAGUCGAACGGAAAGGCCCUGCUUUUGUGGGGUGCUCGAGUGGCGAACGGGUGAGUAACACGUGAGUAACCUGCCCUUGACUUUGGGAUAACUUCAGGAAACUGGGGCUAAUACCGGAUAGGAGCUCCUGCUGCAUGGUGGGGGUUGGAAAGUUUCGGCGGUUGGGGAUGGACUCGCGGCUUAUCAGCUUGUGGGUGGGGUAGUGGCUUACCAAGGCUUUGACGGGUAGCCGGCCUGAGAGGGUGACCGGCCACAUUGGGACUGGGGUACGGCCCAGACUCCUACGGGCGGCAGCAGUGGGGAAUAUUGCACAAUGGGCGGAAGCCUGAUGCAGCAACGCCGCGUGCGAGAUGACGGCCUUCGGGUUGUAAACCGCUUUCGCCUGUGACGAAGCGUGAGUGACGGUAAUGGGUAAAGGAGCACCGGCUAACUACGU
rnacentral:rRNA from 1 species